UGACAGAAAAUGAAAAGAAAUAAAAAACAGAAAUAAAAGACAGAGACUGGGGGUGAGAAUGAGCCACUAAAUGACUGUCUCUUUAUUGGCUAGUUGGU
rnacentral:ribozyme from 13 species